rnacentral:rRNA from 1 species
CGGCAACGGAUAUCUCGGCUCUCGCAUCGAUGAAGAACGUAGCGAAAUGCGAUACUUGGUGUGAAUUGCAGAAUCCCAUGAACCAUCGAGUCUUUGAACGCAAGUUGCGCCCGAAGCCAUCAGGCCGAGGGCACGCCUGCCUGGGCGUCACACGCCGUUGCCCCC